GACGAACGCUGGCGGCGUGCUUAACACAUGCAAGUCGAACGGUAAGGCCCUGCCUUUGUGGGGUGCUCGAGUGGCGAACGGGUGAGUAACACGUGAGUAACCUGCCCCUGACUUUGGGAUAACUUCUGGAAACGGGGGCUAAUACCGGAUAGGAGCUCCUGCUGCAUGGUGGGUGUUGGAAAGUUUCGGCGGUUGGGGAUGGACUCGCGGCUUAUCAGCUUGUUGGUGGGGUAGUGGCUUACCAAGGCGUUGACGGGUAGCCGGCCUGAGAGGGUGACCGGCCACAUUGGGACUGAGAUACGGCCCAGACUCCUACGGGAGGCAGCAGUGGGGAAUAUUGCACAAUGGGCGGAAGCCUGAUGCAGCAACGCCGCGUGCGGGAUGACGGCCUUCGGGUUGUAAACCGCUUUCGCCUGUGACGAAGCGUGAGUGACGGUAAUGGGUAAAGAAGCACCGGCUAACUACGUG
rnacentral:rRNA from 1 species